UUGUAACAACAAAAAAGAAAGCUGGCUCCAAGUGUGGAAAGAAAGCAGAGGAAGGAACGGGUGGGGACCCUGUUGGCAGCUCUCCCUGAGGACGGGCCAGGAUGGGGGGUCCUGGGGUCUGGGAUUCUGACCCCAAUCUUUAGAGCAGUCCCUAAGCCCCUUGCUCGCAGGGAGUGAAGCACCAGCAGGCAUGGCUGCCAGGUCAGCAGACAGCCGACUCGGCUUCCUCGAUGGGCAGCUUGCCCCGAUGUCACGGCUGGCAUUCACCGUGGCCCAUGAAGGCGGUGGAGAGUGCCCCACAGGAGCAAUCUGCCGCCAAAGGGGACGUGACGCCUGCCAGGAAUGCCCAGCACACACCCAGUCUCGGGGCACCUGCCCUCACAGCUGGGGGGCGUCACCUAUGUGCCCCGAAUGUAGUAGAUCAUGUGGUGCCUGCACCAAGGCCGUGGCAUGAAAUUCAAUAAAAUUUCCCCAAAUUCAUUGUUCAGUCAUGACUCAUUUCCAAGGAAAGGAGUGAAAUCCACCCUUCUUCCUUUGUUCUUUCUUCCUCCUUUGAAAGUGUCCCCAUGGAGAAGCCCCCACUCCUACAGUCUUGAGAAAGAGCCUCUCACACACUCACACCCAUUCCCACACACAGACACACUCAUACACACACACAUAUUCCCACACACACUCACAUUCCCCACUCACACCCAUUCCCACACAGACACACUCAUACACACACACCCAUUCCCACACACACACUCACAUUCCCCCACACACCCAUU
rnacentral:lncRNA from 10 species